GAAUAACAGUUGGAAACGACUGCUAAUACCGGAUGAUGACGUAAGUCCAAAGAUUUAUCGCCCAAGGAUGAGCCCGCGUAGGAUUAGCUAGUUGGUGAGGUAAAGGCUCACCAAGGCUACGAUCCUUAGCUGGUCUGAGAGGAUGAUCAGCCACACUGGGACUGAGACACGGCCCAGACUCCUACGGGAGGCAGCAGUAGGGAAUAUUGGACAAUGGGCGAAAGCCUGAUCCAGCAAUGCCGCGUGAGUGAUGAAGGCCUUAGGGUUGUA
rnacentral:rRNA from 1 species